AUUGAACGCUGGCGGCAGGCCUAACACAUGCAAGUCGAACGGUAACAGGAAACAGCUUGCUGUUUCGCUGACGAGUGGCGGACGGGUGAGUAAUGUCUGGGAAACUGCCUGAUGGAGGGGGAUAGCUACUGGAAACGGUAGCUAAUACCGCAUAACGUCGCAAGACCAAAGAGGGGGACCCUCGGGCCUCUUGCCAUCGGAUGUGCCCAGAUGGGAUUAGCUUGUUGGUGGGGUAACGGCUCACCAAGGCGACGAUCCCUAGCUGGUCUGAGAGGAUGACCAGCCACACUGGAACUGAGACACGGUCCAGACUCCUACGGGAGGCAGCAGUGGGGAAUAUUGCACAAUGGGCGCAAGCCUGAUGCAGCCAUGCCGCGUGUAUGAAGAAGGCCUUCGGGUUGUAAAGUACUUUCAGCGGGGAGGAAGGGAGUAAAGUUAAUACCUUUGCUCAUUGACGUUACCCGCAGAAGAAGCACCGGCUAACUCCGUG
rnacentral:rRNA from 1 species